CAAAAACAAAUAUGAAUCAUUUUCAUGAACUAAGGGUCAGAGUGGGUGCAAAGAGAUACGUGUCGUAUUCACCUAUCACCCAAAUCCCCCAAAUAAUUGGGUAUUGGUGCGCACCACAUUUCUCUUAAGAGAGCCUAUUGCUGAUCAAUUAUUGUGUCAAUUGGUCCGCACACGUGGUGGAGAACCCGGUGGCUUCCCCACUGUUAGCAUCUGGACAUCUCUGUGUUUGGAACUUCGAAGAAUGGAUUGGUUCCAUCCAAUUUAUGGGAUUCUAAACUUUCUUCCAGUUCCCAGACCAAUGAGAAUGUGACGUUAGCUCGUGUGCAACCAAGACCCUGUUUUUUUAUAUAAUGCUUUUUUCCUUUUGGUUUCCUUGGCUAAUAAGUGCCUGGACGUGGGUGACUAGAGUAUCUCAUUGUCCCCAAUUGCUAGACAAACUAGCAUAAAUGCAAAAGCCAGAUUGCACAUAUCCAGCCAAAUAUUUUCUGAUUUAUGUUCAAAGUUUCAUGAAGAGUUAGGGUAAAGAUGGAAAGCUGACGGGUGCCCUGCUUCAAAUGAUACUACCCAAACAAAAAAAAAAGACAACUAUAUUUAAAUAUUGGGUUUUGCUAAUGAGUAUGCUAAUGUAACUUUGGGUCUUAACUCCUAUCAAUCAGUUACCAACAAUUCAAUAAUUUACUCUGGGUCUUAGCUCGUUUUUCUUUGUUACUAACAGUUCAAAGUAAUGACAGUCUUGCAUCAAAUAAGACAAAAUGUCGCAAGUCAUCAAAGUACCAGACAACAAGCGUGACAAGGUCACAGGAAAAGGUGGGAAGAGCGAAAAGGGCAAAUGAAAGAGCAGCAUGAAGCCUUCUCUCAUCAGUUGGAAUUUAUGAGGUUGAUAAUUGGUUGUUCGUUACCACAACACAACUCCUUUUUCCAUUUAGUGAAAGCUUAUCUCUUUGAACCUUUUGACAUACAACAGAGAGAAAAAGAGACUAUACUACAAAUAGCCUAGUUCAUAUGGAUUUUAAUUUCUCUUCAAUUUGUUAAAACUAGUCACUAGUAACGUUGAAGAGAGACAAGCUGAAAUCAAGCUCAACUCCCGUUUUUUUUCCUCCUUUCUUUACGCCACCCCAUUUGUCUGAGGAUGGCCCAUCCUAUAGGUAAUUAUGUCCCCUGAUGAGUAUGAUGGAGAUUCGAUUUUCGCAAUUGCAUUCAAGCUUAACUUCAGGGCCUCAGCUAUGGCCUUAUAAUGGCAAAAGAGUAUGGUUUCCCAGGGUUAGAAAUUCAGGACGUCACUUGGGGGCAAAUGCAGUAAGUUAUUGUGCACCACUGCCUCAGAGAAACCAAAAUAUCAACAGAUAGUCUUUAGCUAACAAAGCAGUAACACUGUGGUCGCUAUGGCAAUGAACCUACCAAUCCAUCUGCUACAUUAUUGACUGAAAUCAUGAGGGAUCUUUAUCUCCAUUUUCUAAUAUCUGUUUCGCAGCAACACAACUCCUAUUCUGGAAUCUUAUCUCCUAAAUAAAUGACAUAGCAUCACAAGUCUCUCUCCCACAGUGAUGUUAGAUGUGAACAGCUGAUGCAAUAUGGUUUAGCCAAAGUAGCAUGUGUGUGCAUGUUGAUGUGCAUGCGUGUGUGUGUGUGUGUGCGUGAAAGAGAGGUAAAACAGAAAAAUAGUGAAAUCCAAUUCCCUGACAGAAGUAUCAUAAAUUAAGGAUAUAUGGACAUUUGACCUUUUAGACCAGCAUUCAAAUUUUAAGAUCAGCAAAACUCAGUAUCAUCUUUCAGGAAUAUGCUUCUAGAAACUACACCCACCAUUCAAAUUUUAAGAUUUUUCAAUAAUUACUUUUAAUUUCUACAAUGUUAUUUGAGCUCAUUAAUAUGACAAAUUACAAACAAUAAGAACAAAAUUAAAAAAAAAUCCUCUAAACAUAACAACAUAAAGUGGUUGACAAGUUCAAAGUAUUAACCUCGUCAACUCCAUCUAUGCUGUCAGAAAUGUCUGAGAAUAAAGCAGUCUACAUAGAGAGGAUAGUUUUUCCUGAUCAGGCCUUUGAUGCAUUUCCAGCAAGAACAGUCAACCAGUUCUCCGUCUUUCCAAACUAUGAACAAACAUCUUAAGCCUUCAAAGUCAGGAUGGCAACCAACC